GAUGAAGAACGUAGCGAAAUGCGAUAAGUAAUGUGAAUUGCAGAAUUCAGUGAAUCAUCGAAUCUUUGAACGCACCUUGCGCUCUUUGGUAUUCCGAAGAGCAUGCCUGUUUGAGUGUCAUGAAAAUAUCAACCUUGACUUGGGUUUUGUGCUCUAGUCUCGGCUUGGAAUUGGGUGCUUGCCGCUUUUACGAGCGGCUCACCUUCAAUGUAUUAGCUGGAUCUGUCUUUGAGACUUGGUUUGACUUGGCGUAAUAAGUAUUUCGCUAAGGACAUUCUUCGGAGUGGCCUCGUUUCUAGGACGCUUGUCCGCUUUCCAAUACAAGUUCCACCUCGUGGACAUGACUUUUUAUUAUCUGGCCUCAAAUCAGGUAGGACUACCCGCUGAACUUAAGCAUAUCAAUAAGCGGAGGA
rnacentral:misc_RNA from 1 species